AUCAUUUCAUAAUGUGCAACAAUAAGCAAAAAAAAAAAGUUACACAAUGUAGUAGUAAACUCUGUUUGAUCGAUACAAGAAAUUUAUUUAUGAUAUUUUUUCAAAUAAACUCUAAGCUGGAGCAGGAGCACCAUGGCUAGAGCAAUGUUUCUCAACAUAGUUGUUAACGAAAGGGUUACGGAAGGAUCUGAAAACCGUAUGCUUACAAUUUUCAUUCAACGUCUUGAUCAUGGCACACCAUUCAGAACCAACGGUUGUUUUUUUGGUUAACGUCUUCAUCAAACAUUUUGUUACCAUCUUGUAACUGGAAAAGCACUCUUUUAAUUCCCGAUUUGGGCUGUGUUUGUGGAUAGCCGAGGGCGCCUGAGCGUAACCUGACCAUUGGAGCUCUUCGUCAUCUGUUGGGUCAAUGAAUUGAGAUGUUAAGCUUGAAAAAAGAAUUAUAGCAACAAAAUUGUGAGAUGCUUCAUUUCUUUGGAUUCUUUGUCGAUGUGAAAUUGAAAAUUGAGAAAAAAUAAAUAUGCUUUUAGUUUUGGAUGUCUUUAAGAUGAAACUACGUCAGGGUUUAUAUAGAAGUUUACAAUAAAUACUUUUAUAGGAUAUACAAACAAAAUAUAGAAAGAAUCAUGUCUAUAAUUGUUUAUAUUCGAUUAAGGACAUAAAUCUAAAAUUUGCAUGUUGUUAACCCAAAAAGAUUGUAUAAUAUCUUAAUGUUGACCAAAAAUAUGGUAUAAUAUCAUUAUAAUAUUCUGAGAUAAUAUCAUUUAAAUAGUAUUUGUGCUAAAUAAGUUUUGUAUAUAUUUGAAAUUUAUUAUAAUUUUGAUAAAUUAAAUUUUAGAUAAAAAUGGAUAGAUAAUUUUGAUUGGUUAACAAUAUAAGCAUAACAUUAAAUUUUAUUAAAUUAUAUUAAUCAUCUUAACACAUGCAUCUCCAUAUCAUAUAAAAAACAUGAUUUUAAAGAUUGAAUCAAGCAAUUUAGAUUUAAAUCCUAAUUUUUAUUUUUAAUUAUUUAAUUAAUUAAGUAAUAGGAUAAAUUUUAGUUGACGAGUCUUCAGUCAAAAUCAUAAGAACAUAAAAAAUAAGCAAAAUGAUUUAAAAGUAUGAAGAAUAUGACAAAUAGGUAAAAUAUCUGAUUUAGAUUUAUCCUAAUUCUUAUUUUACUUAUUUAAUUAAUUUUAAAUAAUAAGAUAAAUUUUAAUUGAUGAUUCCUCAAUCAAAAUCAUACGAGUUCGAUAAAUAAGAAAAUUAUCUAAAAUUAUGGUGAAUAUAACAAAUAAAGAAACUCGUUUUCAGAUAAUAAUAGUAUAGAUAGAAGAUGGACACCGUAUAACGAGGAAAAAAGUAACAAAUUAACAUCGCCUAUCACAAUAUUUUCAUUUGCACAAUAUUAUCUCAAAUUAAAAAAUAUCAAACAUUAGGAUAAGGUUCACAAAUUAAAUCUUAAAAAAUAACUAUGAACACAUGACAUAAACCCUUAAAAAAAACAGAGUUAUAAUUAAUUCAGAAUAAUCUUCUUUUUUUUUUUGAAGAGUUAUCAUUAAUUCAAAAUAAUCUUUUGUUAAAUGAUUCUGAUUAUAUUUGUUUUGUAUAGAAAACAACUAAAUUCUGCCAAAAGUAAUAAAAAUAGUAUGUAUUGAAAUAAAGCUGAUAACCAAAAAUAUUAUAGCGACAAAAAAAAAAAAAACCUAAAAAUCAUUAUUUUUUGAAGAUUUAAAAUUAUUCUUUUGCAAGUUCAACUAAAAGCUUGUAGUCACUGUUCUCUACUUUAUGUUUAAGCUUCAGUAGAAAACAAACCAUCAUACUCUACUGGAAAAGCCAAAAAAAAAAAAAACUUUCAAAUUAGCUUUUAAGUUUUUGAUGUAGCUUAUUUUGCUUCUGAUUUCUGUUAAUGUUAAAACAUAUAAAAAUUUACCAAAGUUUCAUAACUUCUAACUUCUCUUGACAAAAUUAAAAACAAUGUUGACAUUAUAUGGUUAAAUUAAAAAAAAACUUUGUUCGGCCAUUUACAACUUAUAACUUUUAUGUCGAAUGUCGAGUAAAGUGACAGUAAAUAAACAUGUGAUGGCCAGAGACUAGUGAUAAAGCAUUAUCAAUAAAGCAUUUGCAUUAAUUCGGAGAUUGAAGGUUUUUACUUUGUUGUUGUUGAACAAUUAAAGUUUCGUUUGAUUAGUACUUGAAUAUAUUUUGAUAUUAUUGUGACAUAUUGAAUAAAGUUUCUGUGUUUUUGUUAUUAGUUUGUCAUCCAUUACAAAUAAUAUUAGUGAGUCUAGUAAAUGCAUAAUAUUUGGCUUAUAAUAGAGUUCCUAAUUAUCUUCAAAUCAAAACAUUCUUAUUAUAAUUGAACUUUUAUAAUGUGCAACAAUAAGCAGAAGAAAAGUUACACAAUGUAGUAGUAAACUCUUUUGAUCGAUAUAAGAGAUUUAUUUAUGAUAUUUUUCAAAUAAACUCUAAGCCGGAGAAGGAGCAGUAGCAUCGUGGCUAGAGCAAUGUUUCUUAACAUAGUUAUUAACAAAAGGGUUACGGAACGAUCUGAAAACCGUAUGCUUACAACUUUCUUUCAAUGUCUUGAUCGUGGCGCAACAUUCAGAACCAACGGUUGGUUUUUCGGUUAACGUCUUCAUCAAACAUUUUGUUACCAUCUUGUAACUGGAAAAGCACUCCUUCAAUUCUUUAUUUGGGCUGUGUUUGUGGAUAGCGGAGGGCGCCUGAGAGUAACCCGACCAUUGGAGCUCUUCGACAUCUGUUGGGUCAAGAAACUGAGAUGUGACACAGCUUGAAAAGAGUACCACAGCAACAAAAAUGGAGAGAUUCUUCAUUUUCUUUUGAUGAUUUGUCGAUGUGAAAUUGAGAAAAAGUGAAUAUGAUUUUAGUUUUGGAUGACUUUAAAAUGAAACUACGUCAGAGUUUAUAUAGAAGUUUACAAUGAAUACUUUUAUAGCAUAUACAAACAAAACAUAGAAAAGAAUCAUGACUAGUUAUGUAAGAAAUUGUUUAUAUUCAAUUAAGGACAUAAAUCUACAAAAUUUGUAUGUUGUUAAGCCAAAAAAAUUGUAUAUCUUAAUGACCAAAAAAUGGUAUAAUAUAUUUAUACUAUUAUUUGAGAAGUAAAUUUGUUUAAUUAUCAUGUUCUCCAUGAUUUUAGGUUGAAUCAUUAGUUUUAAUAAACAACAUUAAUUAGACUAAUUAAAAAUAUUUAAUAAAUAAAUUAUAUAAUUAACUAUUUAACUGAUUACAGAUUUAUAUUGUUAAAAUUAUCUCAAAAUAAAAUAAAAAAAGUGUUUGAAAAAUAAAAGAUAAUUACAUGUAUUUAUUUUGUGUUUAUCUACAUCUUUCUUUCUUUCUUAUUUGUUAAUUUUUAUAAUUAGUAGUAUAUAUACACAUAUAAUAAUUAGAUCUAUCAUUAUACUAAAUAUUUAAAAUAGUUUUAUAAAAAAUAAAUUGUACAAAAAAGUUUGAUAAAAAUAACAAACAUUUAUCUAUAUUUGUUUGUAAAUGUAAUAUAUGAUGCCAUAUUUUUGAAAUUAUAAAAUUUAUUUUAGGAUUAAAAUACAAAAAGAGGUAUAUAAGCAAUAAAAAUAAAUUUGAUUUAUAUUUGUUUGUUAACAUGAUUUUUUUGUGGUAUUUUCAUUUUUAUUCUUCUUCAUGUUUUCAUUUUUAUUUUUUUAUUGUUCUUAUGAUUUUUCGUGGUAUUUUCAUUUUUAUUCUUAUUAUUCAGUUAAUAGAAUGAAAUUUAUUUUUUAUUUAAUUUGAAAAUUUUAAUAUUAUUUUUAUUGGGAAUGGAAUUAUCUUUUAAAAAAUAUUUUCUAAAUAUCUGCCUCUAAAAGAAUAUAUUUUCAAAAUGAAAGUUUUGAUUUACAACAAGUACCGUAUACAGUAUUUAUAAAAAUUAAAAAUUAACUUUAUUUACUUUUAAUUAUUUCGAGAGUUUCACAGAAUUAUAACGUUUUUUAAAUUAAAAUGUAAAGAAAAAUAGUAUUCUAUUUUUUAAUAAACUGCAAUUUUAAAAUGAUAUUUCUUAGUUAUAAUUUUUAAAGCUUAAAAGUUAAAAGACCAUUUAAUAAUAGCAAAUUAUGAUUUUAUAAUAAAGAAAUGCUAUUUUAUAGUAAAAUAGCAAUGUCUAUUUUAAAGUAAAAAUUUAGAUUGACUAUAGCUUAUUUUCUUUAUUAUAGAAUACAGAUAUACUAUUUUAUAGCACAAUAGUAAAAACAAAACAAAAAUAUUAUGAACAGGGGGCACUUUUUGUUUAUUCAGUAAACUAAAAACAAUUUAAUCAAAUAAGCUUAAAUUGUUUAGAAAAAUAAAAUAGUAGGGGUCACGUGCCCCCGUAAACCUAAGUAUGUGUCCGUCCCUGAUAGUACAUAAUAAUUAUCUAUCAAAGAAUUAUGUCUUUAUGUGCAGACAAAACACCUAAUAUCAUAAUAAUAUUCUAUGAUCACCUUAUAACGAGAAAAAAACAGCAAAUUAACAUCGCCUAUCAGAAUAUUCUCAUUUGCACAUCAUUAUACCCAAAAAUAAUAUUCAAAAAUUAGGAUAAGGUUCACAAAUUAAAUAUAAAAAUAUAACUACAUGACAUAUAAUACCCCUAAAUCCUCUUGUUAUAAGCACUUAGAAUACAAAGACAUAUACUCUUGCAAGUGGUAUUCGGAGUUAACCUUCCUACUUUGUCCACAUGGAUACAACGUUUCCAGUUUAGUUAGCAAGGUCUCCAUCUAAAAUGUUUAUGUUGAUGACCAAAAAGAAUCGUCAUUAAUUCAAAAUAAUCUUUGUUUCAAACUUAAUGAUGUGAUGCAGAUUCUAUUUGUUUUGUAUAGGAUAAAAACAAAAUUCUACCAAAAAUAAUAAAACUAAUAUGUAUUGAAAUAAAGCUGACAACCAAAAAUAGUAUAGCUACAAAAAAAGCUCAACCUAAAAUCAUUUUUUAAGUUUUAAAACUAUUCUUUUGAAACUUGCAAGCUCAACAAAUAAGCUUGUAGUCUCUAUUUUCUACUUUCUAUUUAAGCUUCGGUAGAAAACAAAUUUAUACUGGAAAAGGCCAAAAAGACAAACUUUGAAAUUAGAUUUUAAAUUUAUAUAGCUUAUUAUUCUUCUGAUAUAUGUUAAAGUUAACAUAUAAAAUAAUUAACCAAAGUUGCAUAACUUCUAAUUUCUCUUGAAAAAAAUUAAAAACAUUAUUGUCCGGAAAAUAUUAUAAAUCAAAAAACGUGUUCGGCCAUUUACAACUUGUAACUUUCAUGUAGAGUAAAGUGACAAGAAAAAUUGAAAAAAAGAGAGUAAUGGCCAGAGACUAGUGAAAACACGCAAUACAUUUGAAUUAUAGUAAAAUGUAAUAUAUGCGCAUUCAACCAUAUAAUGUAAAAAAAAGCAUAUAAUGUCAACGUGUAUUCCAAUGUCUAUUGCCCGCAUAUACAAUGCCAUCAGAGAAGAUUUUUCAAGAACACUCGCAGAGAGACUUGUGAUCGAUAUUGAGAAAGUGAUGCGUGAGCUCGAUGAGCUUCCUUCACGAGUAAUCCACAAAAUUUUGCUGGGAGAGGAGAAGAGUGAAGCUGACGGCGAUAACUUGAUGGUGACGGUGAAGAAUAGCGAUAUGGAGAAGCAGAGAGAGAUCAUCAAUGGCUGGAAGAAGUUUUCCGACAGGAAGAAGACAAAUGGUAUCUGUUAACUGAGUAAUAUAUAAUGAAAAUGUUUGGACUGCUUUAUCAAUAAUGCAUUUGCACUAAUUCGGAGAUUUGAAGGUUUUUUACUUUGUUGUUGUUGAACAAUUUGAUUAGUACUCGUAAUAUUUUUUGAUAUUAUUGCGACACUUUGAAUAAAGUUUCCGUGUUUUUGUUAUUAGUUUGUCAUCCAUUAUAAAUAUGAUUAAUGAGUCUAGUAAAUGCAUAAUAGUUGGCUUAUGAUAGUGUUGCUAAUUAUCUACAAAUAAAAAAACUUAUUAUAAUUGAACUUGUAUCAUAAUUUUAUAUUGUGCAACAAUAAGCAAAAAAAAGUUACACAAUCUAGUAAUAAUUAGCUCUUUUGAUCUAUGCAAGAGAUUUAUUUAUUAUAAUAUUUUUAUAAAUGAACUUGUAUCAUCAUUUUAUAAUGUGCAACAAUAAGCAAAAAAAAAAAAGGUUAGGCAAUGUAGUAGUAAACUUUUUUUGAUCGAUAGAAGAGAUUUAUUUAUGAUAUUUUUCAAAUGAACUCUAAGCCGGAGUAGGAGCAUCAUAGUUAGAGCAAUGGUUCUCGACAUAGUUGUCAACGAAAGGGUUCUGGAACGAUCUGAAAACAGUAUGCUUACAACUUUCAUCCAACGUCUUGAUCGUUGCGCAACAUUUAGAACCAACUGUUGUUUUUUUUAUUAACGUCUUCAUCAAACAUUUUGUUACCAUCUUGUAACUGGAAAAGCACUCCUUUAAUUGCUGAUUUGGGCUGUGUUUGUGGGUAGCCGAGGGCGCCUGAGCGUAACCCGACCAUUGAAGCUCUUCGUCAUCUAUUGGGUCAAUGAAUUGAGAUGUGACACAGCUUGAAAAGAGAAUUAUAGCAACAAAAAUUGUGAGAUUAUUCAUUUUCUUUGGAUUCUUUGUCGAUGUGAAAUUGAGAAAAAUGAAUAUGCUUCUAGUUUUGGAUGGUUUUAAGAUGAAGCUAUGUCAGGGAUUAUAUAGAAGUUUACAAUGAAUACU
rnacentral:lncRNA from 1 species